rnacentral:rRNA from 1 species
AUGGACGACCACCACCGCCCGUGCAUGCCUCUGGAUUCGUCCAAGUCCGACAAUGUUUUUGUACAAAUACGCUACGGAGACCAAGACCAGCAAGUCCGCAUGGGAGCCCGAACGACUACUUCCACGACGAUGCGAGUACAAGUACGCUCGACGUGUUUUUACCAAGUACCGCGACACCCCGAUCCCUCGGAUCAGUCAAGUUCAUCUACGAAAACAUGUAUGGCCGUCGUCGAAACUGCAAAGUACCUCUACGCAUGGAUAUCACCAAGUACCAUGAUAUCGAUGACAUCCACUAUUACUGUCACCGAGGGUUUCGUCAAGUUUAACUACAUUGGCUACGAACGGUGA